UGCCCAGUGAAAUUAACUAAACGGCCGCAGAAUAUUAACUGUGCUAAGGUAGCAUAAUCAUUUGUCUUUUAAUUAGAGACUAGUAUGAACGGCUAAACGAAAUUUAACUGUCUCUUUUAUAUUAAAUAAAAUUUAAUCUUAAGGUCAAAAAGCCUUAAUAUAAUAAAAAGACAAAAAGACCCCAUAGAGUUUAAUUUUAAUAUUUUUAAAAAUAAAAAUUAUAAAAUUUAGUUGGGGCAACUAAGAAAAAAUAAAUUUUUCUAUACAAAAAAAAUAUAAUUUAUCAUUAAAUUAAUAACACAAAAUAAAUUACCUUGGGGAUAACAGCAUAAAUU
rnacentral:rRNA from 1 species